ensembl:lncRNA
GCCCCCUUUGGUCUUGGCAGAUUUGGAGUAACCAAAGAUAUUUUUUUAAAGGUAAGAUGUUGUUGUUUGAUAUCAUCAAAAUUUUGGAUCUAAUUUCAUGUAUGCAGUUUAGAGCUGCUGGUUGUGUGGGGAUAUAGCUCAGUGGUAGAGCAUUUGACUGCAGAUCAAGAGGUCCUCAGUUCAAAUCUGGGUGCCCCCUUUGGUCUUGGCAGAUUUGGAGUAACCAAAGAUCUUUUUUUUUUAAAGGGAAGAUGUUGUUGUUUGAUAUUAUCAAAAUUUUGGAUCUAAUUUCACGUAUGCAGUUUAGAGCUGCUGGUUGUGUGGGGGUAUAGCUCAGGGAUGGAGCAUUUGACUGCAGAUCAAGAGGUCCCCAAUUCAAA